rnacentral:tRNA from 4 species
GGUGGGGUGCCGGAGAGGCCUAACGGGACGGCUUGGAAAGCCGUGUCGCUUUGUGCGACCCGUGAGUUCGAAUCUCACCCCCACCG